ensembl:lncRNA
CAACUCAUCAAUACACUGUUGUGCUACAUUAAAUCACCUCUUCAACUCAUCAAUACACUGUUGUGCUACAUUAAAUCAACCUCUUCAACUCAUCAAUACACUGUUGUGCUACAUUAAAUCAACCUCUUAGGUAGGUGUGAGGGAAAUGGGUUUAAAGGCAGAUUAAGUUAGGAAGGUGUGAGGGAAAUGGGUUUAAAGGCAGAUUAAGUUAGGAAGGUGUGAGGGAAAUGGGUUUAAAGGCAGAUUAAGUUAGGAAGGUGUGAGGGAAAUGGGUUUAAAGGCAGAUUAAGUUAGGAAGGUGUGAGGGAAAUGGGUUAACAGGCAGAUUAAGUUAGGAAGGUGUGAGGGAAAUGGGUUAACAGGCAGAUUAAGUUAGGAAGGUGUGAGGGAAAUGGGUUUAAAGGCAGAUUAAGUUAGGAAGGUGUGAGGGAAAUGGGUUUAAAGGCUCUGAAUACGUGUUUGAUUUCAACAUUCUGACAAAGGAGCAGUAGAAAAUACAAACAUUUAGGAAAAGUCAGGGAGCAGGAGGUAGGUUUUUUGGGUUGUCUGAUUCUAGUGUUAAAAGACAAUUCUGCCACUUUUCAACCUCAUAUUCAUCCUCUCCAGCACCAAACAGAAUGUUUAUUUGUCAAAAUGGCACAUUUCUAUGAUCUGUAGUUAAAAAGAUAAGUAGACAAGUCUUUAAAAAAUGAUCUGUGACAUAAAAGUUAAAAACUCAUUUUCCAAACCUGCAGUAGUUUUCUGGCCCCAUGGAGGGUAUUUUAUUGCUCCCCACACCUGAUCAUCUAAUUGUGUUUGAAAAUCACUGCUUUUAAAAUGAUUAAACUUUUGAUGAUGUCAUCAGGUAGAACUUUUUAACUUUAUAUUUUUUCUUCAAAACUUCAAAAUGAACCAUUUACAUUUAUAUUCAUUUCUGAUGUUAUUUUAUUUGUACGGCUGAAUAGGACCUUUAAAGGUAGUGUUUUAUAUAUAUUCUGAUGUUAUUUUAUUUUUAUGGCUGAAUAGGACCUUUAAAUGUAGUGUUUUAUAUAUAUUCUGAUGUUAUUUUAUUUUUAUGGCUGAAUAGGACCUUUAAAUGUAGUGUUUUAUAUAUAUUCUGAUGUUAUUUUAUUUUUAUGGCUGAAUAGGACCUUUAAAGGUAGUGUGUUUUAUAUAAUUAGCCUCCACAGCAACAUGAACACCUGAAUACUUUCACAUACAAACCAGAGGAGGCUGGUGGAGGAGCUAUAGGAGGACAGGCUCAGUGUAAAGACUGGAAUGGAAUAAAUGGAACAUCAAACACUUAAUUAAUUUAUUCCAUUUCAGCCAUAAAAAUGAACAAGUCCUCCUAUAACUCCUCCUAUAGCUCCUCCCACCAGCCUAUAGCUCCUCCCACCAGCCUAUAGCUCCUCCCGCCAGCCUAUAACUCCUCCCACCAGCCUCCUCUUGGAAAUGUCUCUGUUCUGUUAAAAGAGAAGUUGAGAAUACCACAUGUUGAUUCUGUUGUAUCUACAUUAAACCACAUGUUGAUUCUGUUGUAUCUACAUAUAUCUACAUUAAACCACAUGUUGAUUCUGUUGUAUCUACAUGUAUCUACAUUAAACCACAUGUUGAUUCUGUUGUAUCUACAUUAAACCACAUGUUGAUUCUGUUGUAUCUACAUAUAUCUACAUUAAACCACAUGUUGAUUCUGUUGUAUCUACAUGUAUCUACAUUAAACCACAUGUUGAUUCUGUUGUAUCUACA